AUGCAGUCCAGCCCUCGGUCCCCCCACCCCCCUCGCCGCUGCUGCAUUGGAGUUGGAAGGUGCUGUGCAGCUGCCCCCGAGGGGCUCAGGUCCGCAGCCCCCUCUGCCCGUGUGCCCGUCCCCGUCCCCUCGGGGUGCAGCCCGCAGCCGCCCCCAUCCCCUCUCCGCACCGGGCUGCGCGGAGCCCCUCGGUGCUACACGGGGGGGGGCGGCUCGGGGAGCGCCCUGCGGAGCGGGAGCCCCUCGGCGGCAGCGGGGAAGUCUCGGAGCGGAGCUCCCCUCACUGCACCCCCAACCCCGACCCCCUCCAAAGCCCCUCAGGGGGGUGGCGGAGCCGAACGAGGGACCCCAGGGAGCGGCGGCGGCGGGAGCGGCGGCGGCGGGAGCGGCGGCGUCCCCCUCCCCCCGCGGGCUCCAAGGACAUUUUGUUUUUCCUCUCAAGGACAAAGGACAAUGAGGAGCGAGGGGCCCCGCGCACUUACCGGCUCCGCGCAGCCCGCUGCCUGCCAACGGGGGCCCGGGGCGCCGCUGCCCUCCUCGCCCUGCCCGCGGCGGGGCCCCGGCUCGGCGCCCGCCCGCCCGGCCGCUCGGGGCGAGGCGCGGGCAGAGCGAGGCGGCCCCGCCGCCAUGGCGCUCCGCUGCGAGGCAGCCCGCUGCCCGCCCGCCCGCGCUCCGUCUCCCCUCCAGCCCCGCAGCGCCGGGCCCGGAGCGAGCCCCGGAGAGCGGCGGCGGAGGCCGGCGGCCGGCCCGGGCGGCUCGGAGCGGCGGGGGGGAAGCGGCCGGGAGCCGGGCGGCGGCGGCGGCUGCUCCCCCGGCCAUCUUGUGCCGUGUGUGCGAGCGGCUCUCGCCCGUCUCCUCUCAGCGCCUCGCUCCCCUCCCCCCGCACAACAUGGCGGCCCGCUCGCUACUCACUGCGGCGAGGAAGGGGCGGGACCGGGCCCCUGCCCCCUACCCGCGCCGCGCGGCGGCUCCCCCCUCCGCUCGCGCCCCCCCUCCUUCACGCCCCGCCCUCGGCUGCGCGCGCGCCGCUCCCCGCUCCCCAUUGGCCGCGCCGCGCCCUCCCCGCCAGGCCCGAGGGCGCGCAGCGCUCCCAUUGGCCGCGCCGCGCCCUCCUCAGGCCUCCCCCUCCCCGCACACACACGGCCCGGGGCCCCCCUCGCGCGCGCGGUGGCCGCCGCCUGCCAUUGGCCGUCCCCACUGCCUCUCAGCGGCCGCCGACGAAUCCGAGCGAGCCGUGUGCGGCGCAGGCCGCUCCCCAUUGGCUCCCGCCCGCCUCCCCGCUCCCGCCCAGGCCGCCCCUCAGGGGGCGGCGGGAGCUGGCUCCGAGCUGGCUCCGAGCGCCCGCCCCGGGCCCCACCUGGCCGGGGCAUCCCCAGCCCCGCCCCGCGCCCGCCGGGGCUCCGCGAACCCCGCUCCGAGACCGGGCCCGGCCUCAGCGGCCCAGUCCUGUCACAGUCCCGCCGCCGUCCCUCACAAAGUCCCCUCUGUUCUCUCUCAGCCCUGACAGGGCGUUAUACGUCUUAUAUACACAUAUAUAUACGUGGUAUAUACAUGUAUACACAUAUAUAUACAUGUUAUAUACAUAUAUACACAAAUAUAUGUACAUAUAUACACAAAUACAUGUACAUAUAUACACUAUAUUAA
rnacentral:lncRNA from 1 species